GGAAAUACUUGUCCUAGGAAUGGAUGAAUCUAGACUUAUUUUAAUUAUAGAUACAUCAAAUAUAUCCAUUUUUAGGACAAGUAUUUCCGGACGGAGGGAGUACUUA
rfam:Hordeum vulgare subsp. vulgare, WGS project CAJW01000000 data, contig: morex_contig_2555561